GACGAACGCUGGCGGCGUGAUUAACACAUGCAAGUCGAACAGAAAGGCCCUGCUUUUGUGGGGUGCUCGAGUGGCGAACGGGUGAGUAACACGUGAGUAACCUGCCCUUGACUUUGGGAUAACUUCAGGAAACUGGGGCUAAUACCGGAUAGGAGCUCCUGCUGCAUGGUGGGGGUUGGAAAGUUUCGGCGGUUGGGGAUGGACUCGCGGCUUAUCAGCUUGUUGGUGGGGUAGUGGCUUACCAAGGCUUUGACGGGUAGCCGGCCUGAGAGGGUGACCGGCCACAUUGGGACUGAGAUACGGCCCAGACUCCUACGGGAGGCAGCAGUGGGGAAUAUUGCACAAUGGGCGGAAGCCUGAUGCAGCAACGCCGCGUGCGGGAUGACGGCCUUCGGGUUGUAAACCGCUUUCGCCUGUGACGAAGCGUGAGUGACGGUAAUGGGUAAAGAAGCACCGGCUAACUACGUG
rnacentral:rRNA from 1 species